CAAUAGCGUAUAUUUAAGUUGUUGCAGUUAAAAAGCUCGUAGUUGGAUUUCGGGUGGGACGCAGCGGUCUCGCAUUGCGUUUGUACUGCUGCAGCCCUCCUUCUUGCCGGGGGCGGCCUCUCGGACUUCACUGUCUGGGGGUCAGAAUCGGCGAUGUUACUUUGAGUAAAUUAGAGUGUUCAAAGCAAGCUUACGCUCUGAAUAUAAUAGCAUGGGAUAACACGACAGGACUCUGGCCUAUCGUGUUGGUCUGUAGGACCGGAGUAAUGAUUAAGAGGAACAGUCGGGGGCAUUCGUAUUCCAUUGUCAGAGGUGAAAUUCUUAGAUUUAUGGAAGACGAACAUCUGCGAAAGCAUUUGCCAAGGAUGUUUUCAUUGG
rnacentral:rRNA from 1 species